GUUUUUUCUCUCCUUCCAUCUUUACUUGGAUUCUAGGAAUGGAACCAAGAUACCCAGGCCACAUUUGGGGUGAUCCUUCCCACAUCAGUUAACACAAUCUCCACCAUUCCUCAGUUUUGUCCAGUGGCAGAGAUCUUGGUAACUUCGGCUGACCAUAAGAGCCACAUUGGAAAUGGAAAUAUAGGCAGAGGAAGACAUGCUGGGCUGGUUAGUUUCUGUCAACUCAGCACAAACUAAGGUCACCUGGGAUGAG
rnacentral:lncRNA from 1 species